ACCAUGACCUGAGCCAAAGGCAGAGGCUUACAGGACUGAGCUGCCCAGGCGCCACUCCUCCCACUGGUUUUAGAGAGGAGGAAGUAACAGCUCAGUGGGAGGACUUGAACUUGCCCAUAGGUUGUGUUAAAAUGUGUGUGUGUGUGUGUGUGUGUGUGUGUGUGUGUACAUAUAUAUGUACAUGUGUGUAUAUCACAUAUUUAAAUUGGGAGGCGGGGCUUUCCCUUGGUUUCCUAUUAAAAGCUUCUUUUUUAAGAAAUCUCAACGUUAGCUGAAUAAAAGGACAAAGGACUUGUUCUACACCCAGAUCUGGUUAGCUGUGGGGACUGGUGCUUCCCUGGAGACCUCAGCUGGGGCUGGCAGUGGGGUGAAGCCCCAGGCCAACAGAGAACCAAGUAUGGCAGCCGUGAAAUCAUCUCUGACACUGCUGAGCACAAUUAGUGUGACCUGAAGCAGCUGCUCAGCCUCUCUGAUCUGUCUCGUCUCUCCCAGCAGGGUGAUUUUGAGGAUAAAACUAGACAAGUUAUAUAAAGCUCAGGACCUGGCACAUAGUAGGGUCUUAGUAAAUGGGUAACAGUAUUGUAUGUUGGGCACCUACUUUAUAUUGGGAGCUGUGUAUUCCAAGAAAAUGGGAUCCUUCCCCAGGUUGCUUGCUCACUGCCAGUUAGGGGAGGCAGACAGACAGACAGACACCUCCCUCCCCAUGGUGAGCACAGUGGGAUAAGCUGUGUUAGAUGGGCACAUUCUGCAGCAGCACAGAACAGAGCUCAACAGGCUUCUCUUGCUGAGGGAAUCAGACAAGGCCUCAUGGAGGAGGUGACUUUCGUCUGCACCUUGAAGUAAGAGUAAUACGAAACAGAGGAACUGGGGAGGGCAUUUGAGACACAUGGAACAGCAGGCUACUGGAGCUAAAGCAAAUUCUUUGUGUAGCAUCCUGUAGGAGGAGGUGCUGAGGGAGGGGUGGAAGCCCGGGAGAUGGGGGUGGGCAGAAGGCAGAAGGUUGUGAUGUUCACCUGGAAAGGUUGGACUCUUAUCCUAGAGACCAAGGGAAGUCAUGGGUGGGUUUUGAAGAGGGCAGACACAGGCUGUGGGUUGGAGACUGGAGGCAGGGAGACCAAUUAGGAGGCAGCAAUGGACAAGGGGUGAGGGCUUGAGCCGGGACAGCAACACAGGAGGUAGAGUAGAGGAGUAGAUCCUUCUAGGAGGUAGAAUGGGGGGUUUAGGGUCUCGUGGAUGUGGGAGGACUGGAGUGGGAGGGAGGGAAAUCAACGACUUACAGGCGCCCAUUCCUGAGACGGGGAGCAUAGUGGGGAGAAGCAGGUUGGGAAGAGGAUGGCAAUUGUGUGAGGGGUCCAAUGAACUACCAGAACUGAGUUGGAGCAAAUCUGAAGAUCAUGGGCAUCUAGACAGUGGGAGAUUGAAGCCACAACUAUGGCAGAGUUAUAUCUUAGAUGUUGUAGGAUUAGAUUUGAGCGUGACCUACAAGAGGCCAUGGUGUCAGGAGAGUUCAUCAGAGGCCAAAAUCAGCCCUGGGGGAGUUAGGCCAAGAUAAUAGGGACACUAGUUUUCUCUCAUGUGAGUCAAGUCCAGCAGUAGAGUCUAUCCCUAGUACAGCAGCUCUAAGGUCACUAGGUCACUUAGGACCUCUUACUGUUCUGCCAUCUUAUCACUUGACUCCUACUUCAUGACCUGCCAGCAACUUGGCUCCUGUCACAUUACUUGGAUUCUAACUGCUGGGAAGGGAGACAGUCAUAAGGACACACACCUUCCCUUCAAAGAUAUUUUCUGGAAGUUGCACUUCUGCCCACCUCUCAUUGGCCAGAUUUUAGCCAAAUGGUCACACCUAGCUGCAAGGAUGAUCCUCCAGUUUCUUGGUCUUUCUUCUUGGUGACCACGUGCCAACUGGAAAUCAGGAGUUUUAUUACCAAAGAAAAAGGGAAGAAUGGAUCUCUAGAGCAGCGUUCCUCAGUGGGGGGCCAUGCUGCCCUCCAGGGGACAUGUGGCAACAACUGGAGGUGUUUUUGUCCCAACUGGGAGUGUGGAGGCCAGAGAUGCUGCUAAACGUCCCAUAGUGCAUAGGACAACCUCCACGACAUUUGGUCCAAGAUGUCAGUGGUGCUGAGCUUGAGAAGCCCUGACCUACAUGGACAAUUUCUAGUCUCACUGCUGUAACCAGGACAGCAUGAAGAGGGAGGGGACAAGUCGCUUGUGGCCACGCAAGACACCUGUCCCUGGCAGGCCACAAUAUCAGAGGAGUUCAGCAGCUCAGAGGACUCGUUCUGGAUUUGAAUGGUGGCACAGACCUUCUGCCCUGUGACCUCUGACAAGUUGCCUGACUUUCUCAGCUCCUCAGUUUCCUCAUCUGUUCAAUGAGGAGAAUAACACCCAGCUGAGGGUUGUGAGGAUUCAUCUGGAGAGUGCCUGGCCCACAGGGGGCACUCAGGAAAUGCCAGCUGCUCCUCUCAUCAUCGUAUCAUCACACAGUCUCUCAGGAAAGCCUCUCUUCUCCUCAUCAGAAAGUCCUUCCCCGAGCCGCCACUCUAAUUCUUAGCACACAAAGUCUGCAUUGGGAGUGACCACAGGAACCUGCAUUUUACAGAUGGAGGGACCAGGGAAGAGACUUGCUCAAGGUCACACACGAACAACAUUCUUCUCCAGCUCUUCCAGGGCUCUCGUGCUGCUCAGGAAACGGGCCCAGUCUUCUCAUGUGCACCCUUGUUGGCAAGAGCCCCAGCCACCAAAAGGCUGUUUUCCUUCUGUCCAGUUCAGUGUUGAUGGCUGCAAUCAGGAGAUGGGGUGAUGGGAUGUCCUUUCCGACAUCCUCCUUCGGGGCAACCUCACAGGGCUGGGCUUCCUGAGGCAUAGCUGUGGCAGCAGCUGCAGGAGCUGGCAUCACCUCUAGCAAUCAGUUUAAAAAAAACCUUUUUUUUAAAGAUUUUAUUUAUUUAUUUGACAGAGAUCACAAGCAGGCAGAGAGAGAGAAGAGGAAGCAGGCUCCCCGCCAAGCAGAGAGCCCAAUGCGGGGCUCAAUCUCAGGACCCUGAGAUCAUGACCUGAGCCAAAGGCAGCGGCUCAACCCACUGAACCACCCAGGCGCCCCUAGCAAUCAGUUUUAAAAAGUCAAGUACUGAGAAUGGGGUGAGAAGGGAGGAGAGCUGGGGCAGAUGUAAGGAGACGAAACUUUUUUCCCCGGCAGACAAUGAAUAGAGUUACUCUAGGGUAGAUACAUCAAGAAACAGAGACAUUAAACAUCUCUCUGCAGUCAGGGAGAGAAUUCACAAAAAGUAAAAAUCACUGACUACUACAGUGGUGCCUCUGGGCAGUGGUUCUGAAUGUGGGAGAAUUUAACUUUCCGUUUGACACUUUUCAGUACUAUUUGAAUUGUUAUCGUAUUAUUAUUUACCAUAUGUGUAUGUUAUGCCUGUUAAUAAAAUAGUUCAUGCCGAGCUCAGAAGCAGGCAGGGGCUACUUGGGCA